UACGAAGGGGGCUAGCGUUGCUCGGAAUCACUGGGCGUAAAGCGCACGUAGGCGGCUUUCUAAGUCAGGGGUGAAAUCCUGGAGCUCAACUCCAGAACUGCCUUUGAUACUGGCGAUCUAGAGUCCGGGAGAGGUGAGUGGAACUCCGAGUGUAGAGGUGAAAUUCGUAGAUAUUCGGAAGAACACCAGUGGCGAAGGCGGCUCACUGGCCCGGUACUGACGCUGAUGUGCGAAAGCGUGGGGAGCAAACAGG
rnacentral:rRNA from 1 species